rnacentral:lncRNA from 1 species
GUUUUUUCAGAGGAGUUGAGAUGACAAACUGUUGCAGAAGUACAUUGAAGCAAAUAUGUUCAAAGGGGCGUAACUCCUAGAAAUAAAAUUGAAUCGUAAUUUUCCGUCGAUAUGCACAACUACAUAGUAUGUCCUUAUUAUCUGAAAAGGUUUCAUGAAAUUCUGUAGUGUAGUUUCAGAGGAGUUGCGAUGACAAACUGUUGCAGUAGUACAUUGAAGCAAAUAAGUUCAAAGGGGCGUAACUCCUGGAAAUAAAAUUGAAUCGUAAUUUCCCGUCGAUAUGCACAACUACAUGAUAUGUCCUUUUCAUAUAAAAAGAUUUCGUGAAAUUCUAUUGUGUGGUUUGAGAGGAGUUGCGAUGACAAACUGUUGCAGUAGUACAUAAAGGAAAUAAGUUCAAAGGGGCGUAACUCCUAGAAAAAAAAUUGAAUCGCAAUUU